rnacentral:lncRNA from 1 species
UAGACCUUGUCCUGUCCAUCUCCUUCAAUGUACAGGAAAGGACAGUGAAGACAGGGAGCUCAAGUGACCUCCUCCAGGGUAUAUAGCUGAAUUCAACUGUCCAGAUAGAAAGGUGGACAUGGAAAAAUUGGGCUUUGCAAAUGGUCACCCAAUUCUUGCCUUCCUGGUCUCCAGAUCACCCUUCCUAUACCGCCACUCUGGAGAAAGAAGUACAGAACGCUAACAAGCUAGAUACAGAGGACCUAACAUACAACUCAGAGUCCCUAGAAGAUGGAGAAAACACAGACAAUUGGCAGAGGAGAUGAGCAUGUGAUUAUUGUUACCACUUGUCUGGAAGCAACCAGAAUGGAGUGGGGAAGACUCAAGGAGGAGAUCUUCACAGGACUCACCUCUCAUCACAGCUCCCGUGUGGUUGUAAUCACCCCAGAGGGAAAAAUAAUUUCGGUUUUUUAUGGUUUAAUUAUUGGUGAUAGCAGCUGUUUUGAAGACACAAACACAGAAGCAAGUUCUAGAACAUACUCACAGUUUCCUUGGUCACAGUGUUGUCAGUGGUUCUAUAAAGGUCUUAUGAAUCUCUACUUAGUUGACCACAAGUAGUAAGCAAGAAACAAUCCUGUAAAGAGAAUGGAGGUCAGAAUAAAGAAGCCUUGAGGGUUUAAAUCGCUUCUUGAAAAGAAAUGCCCGUGUGUCAAGGAGCUAAGGGAGACCAGCCCAGGAGGAGCUGAAUCCUGCCAACAAUCACUUGAGUGAACUUGAGAGUGAAUCCUCUCCAUGUUAAGCCUUGAGUGAAAGCGGAAUACCUGGUUAUCCGGAGGUCACUGUCUCCACACAGAGUGGUGUCCUUGAUGCUAGCUUGGGGCAAAGAAGCCAGGCAAUCAAGGCUUUAAAUGCGUGGAUUUAUCAUCACCUCAAAUCGCCUGUCACUGUGAUGGAACAAAAAUAGAAAGUUGGGCUAAUAUCUUCCUGCUAGCAUGUUUCCAUCUGUGAGUUUGAUCAAAGCAACUUUAUCUGCGAAAUUUUGAAGAAUCAGCUUCAUCUCCACUUGGCAGCAUGUGGUAAAUGAAGGUAUUUCUGGAAAUCCCAUCUUCCCAGAAUUCAGCUAGGAUCCAGAAGUGAUGCUGUUACGUGACGUCUUCAACCUCCCUCCCUCUGCCCAUCUCAGGGACCUCUCCAGAAGCCAGUCCCAAGAGUGGCAUUGGUUAGCAUAUCUCAAAUACAGUGGGAGAAGCCUCUUAGCUCAGCUCCAGUUAUUUCUCUAUUGUAGAAAACCAAGAGAGAGAUGAAUAAGGAAUGAAAACAUACUCCACAUGGACUCAAUAAAUCUUGGGUGAAAUGAUGCUGUCUGACAAGGUAAAUAAAAAAUGCAGCACUCAAGCACCAGCACUGGGGAUGAGAUGAGGACACACCAAUUACCAGCACUUCUG